rnacentral:rRNA from 1 species
UACGGAGGGUGCAAGCGUUGUUCGGAAUCAUUGGGCGUAAAGCGCGUGUAGGCGGCUUGGCAAGUCAGUUGUGAAAGCCCGGGGCCCAACCCCGGAAUUGCAUCUGAAACUGCUUGGCUGGAGUCCCGGAGAGGAAGGCAGAAUUCCCGGUGUAGGGGUGAAAUCCGUAGAUAUCGGGAGGAAUACCAGCGGCGAAGGCGGCCUUCUGGACGGUGACUGACGCUGAGACGCGAAAGCGUGGGGAGCAAACAGG